CUACGGGCGGCUCCAGUGAGGAAUAUUGGUCAAUGGGCGCGAGCCUGAACCAGCCAUCCCGCGUGCAGGAUGACGGCCCUAUGGGUUGUAAACUGCUUUUCUAUGCCAAGAAACCUGAUUACGUGUAAUCAGUUGCCGGUAGCAUAGGAAUAAGCAUCGGCUAACUCCGUGCCAGCAGCCGCGGUAAUACGGAGGAUGCAAGCGUUAUCCGGAUUCAUUGGGUUUAAAGGGUGCGCAGGUGGGCCUGUAAGUCAGUGGUGAAAUGCUGCCGCUUAACGGUAGAACUGCCAUUGAUACUGCGAGUCUUGAGUAUGGUUGAGGUAGGCGGAAUGUGUUGUGUAGCGGUGAAAUGCAUAGAUAUGACACAGAACGCCAAUUGCGAAGGCAGCUUACUAAGCCAUUACUGACGCUGAGGCACGAAAGCGUGGGGAGCGAACAGGAUUAGAUACCCCUGUAGUC
rnacentral:rRNA from 1 species